UGUCCCUGACCCAAGUAGAGUGGCUUUUGGCUGGCAGUGCCCAUCUCCCAUCAGCCAGGGACAAAGCAACCCCUUGUUUACCCCAGCUUGAUUUUUGGUCAGUACCUAUGCCUGGUUCAUGCCUUGAACAUGAAA
ensembl:snoRNA